rnacentral:rRNA from 1 species
CAGCACCUCAAGUGGUCAGGAUGAUUAUUGGGCCUAAAGCAUCCGUAGCCUGCUUUGUUAGUUUUCGGUUAAAUCCAUACGCUCAACGUAUGGGCUGCCGGGAAUACUGCAAAGCUAGGGAGUGGGAGAGGUAGACGGUACUCGGUAGGAAGGGGUAAAAUCCUUUGAUCUAUUGAUGACCACCUGUGGCAAAGGCGGUCUACCAGAACACGUCCGACGGUGAGGGAUGAAAGCUGGGGGAGCAAACCGGAUUAGAGACCCGAGUAGUCC